CCGCCGCCUGCGGGACGGGCUGCGGCAGCUCCGCCCCCGGGAGGUGCCGUGAGGGAAGUCACGGGAUCAGAGAAUCCGUUAGGUUGGGAAAGUCGUCUGAGAGCGUGGAGUCCAACCUGUGGCCGAGCGCUACCAUGUCAGCUAGACCAUGGCCCUAAGUGCCACGUCCAGUCUUUCCUUAAACACCCCCAAGAGACGGCGACUCCACCACUUCCCUGGGCAGCCCAUUCCAAUGCCUAAUCACCUUUUCUGUAAGAAGUUCGUCCUAAUGUCCAACCUAAACAUCGCCUGGCACAGCUUAAGACCGUUUCCUCUCGUCCUGUCACUCGUUGCCUGGGAGAAGAGACCGACCUCCACCCUGCGACAGCCUCCCUUCAGUAGUAAUAUUCCAUUCCCAACAAAUGGCUGUACCAGGAUUAUUUUCUGCAGCUGAAGUGGCAGCCUGGAGUGAGGUCAUGCUGAAGAUACUGGUAUGUGAUAAUAGCUACCACUUGGUGGCAUCCAUGCCAUGCUUUAUUUAGCUGAAAACUCCAUAGCCAGCAAACUGGGAAAACUUUGGGAGUAUCUGUCUUGACAUUCAUUCUUUAAGGGUAUUUAAAAUAGUUAAUCUGGAUUGGUGUGCAAAGUGCUCAACAUAUGCAUGACUCACCUUAUGCUUGUAAUUUAGUGUAGGAGUAUAUAUAUUUACUGGCCUUGCAGUUGGCUCAACUAAUCAAAGUAAAGUGAUUAAACUCUAUCUUGCUGCUUUCUUUGGAAGACUGUUCAACUAAUUUUUAUUCACAGAAAAUCUGUUUAAGCUCUUAGAUCCUUGGUCUUGACCUUGCCACUUACCUGAGUUUAAAACAAGGUUUGAUUUUAGGAAUGUGGAUGUUUCUUUUUCUCUGUCCACGCUUCGUAGAGAAUAGUGGGGGGUGCCUCUUCUUUUGGAAAUAACCCCUAGUGAUAAAUUCACAGGUGCAACCUAAAGAAAGAAAGACUGGCAGAACCAGCAGAGUCAGUGCCUGUGCUGGACUCUUCAACCUCCAUGCAGAAAUGCAUAUGGUGUAUUCAAGGGUGAAUAUACUGCCUUGUGGCAGCUCUGCAAACUCUUCCCUUUUUGAAAAGAUACCUUUUAGGAUAUCUGCCUCCACCCAGCUGAAUUUUUAAUACAGUUAUUACUGGUUAAGCUAUCAGUAAAGUUUUGACUAGAUCUCAGUAAACAACUCAGUCUUUUAUUCACGUUUCAGCAAUGACAUCAGAAUGAAUCAAUAAAGAUAAUUUAAAAAUCUGGACAUUGCUGUCACUUGUUU